AAGCCUUCAACCCAUGGCUGUGCGCCUAACCCCCCGUGCCCUAACAGAGCAAAAGCAACUGACCCUCACACCUGACCAAGCUAGCUCUCAUCCUCUCCACUCUCUUGUCUCCAGUCUCCAGUCUCGUCCACUUUGCUUCUCAUUUGUUCGCAGUUUUCCUUUGCCAAUCGCCAGCCACAGCCAGUUGCCCCUGCCCAGUGCUUCUUUCAGCCAUCUCCCCUCCUCCGUUCGCGACUUCGCGUGACGGCCUGAGUCGAGUAAGACUACAAGAGAUUUCAGCUUUAGUUUCAGCUUCAUCGUUCGGCGUUCACCUUUUUUCAAGCUUCGCCUUCACCUCAGCAGCUCAAGCUGCAAAACUUUAUGAGAGGUGCUUAGUUGUUCGUGCCAACUACCCUGAAUACUGGAUGCGUUAUGUGGAUUUCAUGGAAACUAAGGGAGGAAGAGAAAUUGCAAAGUAUUCGUUGAAAAGAGCAACAGAAAUUUUUUUGAAGGCUGAUAUGGUGGACACCUUAUCAAACAUCCUCACCUGGUAGGAAUUGUAAGUGAUUUGUAAGCUAAAUCAAGAACGCCUUGCACGAUGAUGAGAUAAUGUUGCUCAAAUAAUUUUGUCCUCCUACUCCCUUACUGUAAGUGAAGCUAAACAAAUACUGUAUCCCUACGUUAAUUAGGUGGAGUUUUACCCAUGCUGUAAUUUGAGAGAUUUUACUUUAUUGUGCAAUGGACAAUGAAAAUUUUGCUAAUCAUAAGCUAAGAAAUACUGAUCAAUUUUCUUUCUUA